UUCCCGGGCCUUAUACACACCGCCCGUCACACCACGAAAGUUGGCAAUACCCGAAGCCGGUGGCCUAACCCGCAAGGGAGGGAGCCGUCGAAGGUAGGGUCGAUGAUUGGGGUG
rnacentral:rRNA from 1 species